AAGUUUGGUUAAGACGUUAGGUUAUUUGGGUUUAUUUAACUAUUCAUGCAUUUAUUUACUCGAGAACUUAAUUUUCUUAAUGAAUUCAUCAAAUAUAAUAAUAAUGUGAGUACUAAAUAUUGUUGUCUCAUUAUUUUUAACAGGACAAAUUGUCGAAAUUAUUGACUGUCCGAGUGAUGCACGCCUUAGUGAGUGUUUAAUUAAAAAUUAAAAAGACCAAGAUAGCUAUAUAUGAAGCAAGUUUUGUAAGCUAUAAGAUAAUGAACCUACAAGGAUAAAAGAGUAUGUUGCUAAGGAAGCAUUGAGAAAUAUUACAUCUAAUGUAGGGUAAACAAUAAUAAGGAGACAAAAAAUAAUACAUACACUUACAAAAAGUUAAUGUUAGUUAUAACUAGGGCUGGGAUUUCGAUGCACUUUUAAUUUAAUCUAGAGGUUGUUGUACGAUGCUUGUCUCAAAUCUAUAAAAUGUACUCUUGAAUGAGAAAAAGAAAAUUUAUUUUACAUUUUCUGACAAUUUUUAAUUUUAACAUGAUAGUUAUAAGUUAUAAUAGUUAAAUUAGUAUUAUGAUUUAUGCGAUUAAAAUAAAAACGUAAUUCAAAUUCUAUAACAAAACUCGUAUCUAUUUGUGUAGUGUAUACUGGAAGAAGAAAUCUAUUGGUAUUCCAAAAUAGUAUGUAUACGAAAAUAAAUUAAGUAUAAUCUCAUAUUUUCAGUUAAAUUUUUACCAAAAUUUAUUUUUUUGUAAUUAUCGGUAUAUUUAUGGAAUGUUAGACAUACCUAGGUUCCCAUUUGAAAAAACCAAAGUUGAUAUUACCACCGAAUUCUCUUUGAAUGUUCUGAAAAAAGGAUGCACCAGUCUAUAUUAUCCUACGAAGUCUCUUUAAAAUUAACUCUUUGCAUUAGUUACUUUUAUCGUAUUAUAAUAAUAAUUUCUAAAGUACCAUUAUCUCAUUAUUAGAUAUCACUUAAUAUUCACGAAAAUUUUCUGCUGUCGUAAAAGGCAAAAUUAUUACCAUUUUUCACUUGUCCUAGAAAUACAGAACUUAUUCUACGAUUAUUAUACAAUUUUGUUAAAUUUACUUUUCUCUUUUUCGUUAUCUUCUGGCACAUCUUUCAUCCAACAAAUUUGUAAAAAUCGGUAGUAGAGCAAUCGCUCUAAUAUUAUAAAUUUAUAAAUUAUAUAAGACAUAUCAUCAUUACAUCAUAAAUUCGAAAUCUAUUUGAAUUUGAAUUUAAACUCCUCUUUUUCUAGACUUAUAGCAACAGCAUAAUUUUACAUUUAUCCACAUACAUCAACAACUUCAAAUUUAAUUUUUGUUUUACAUAUUAAAUGGAUCUACGUUAAAAGAGGUAAUCAAUAUUGUCCAGAUCUAUAAAACUAGACGCAACAUUUUAUAAUAAAUGGCAAUGUUUUAGAGAACAUGACAUUCUUCUUAGGUGUACCUCAGGUGGUCAUAUUUUGUCACUUUUAUUAUUUGUUCACUCAUUAUAUUGCGUUUGUUUUUACACAUGUCCGCAGAAGGUUUUAAAUUAUCAAUGAUAAUUACUUACUGGGAAAUUCCGGCACAAAUCAACCUAGAGAAUCAUUUCCAUGUUAGCAUGGAUUAAAAAAAACAAUUAUAAUUACUAACCAGUUUAUUUGUAUUUUCAUAGAAAAUUUCAAAUAUAAUAAAGAUACGAAAGGUAAGUUUUUCAUUUUUAAUUUUUUCUAAAUGGUAUUUUUCAAUAUUUACUUUGAAAACGUCAAAACACUAGAUUUAAAUGUAGUUACUAUAUUUACUCCAGGUUUAGAAUAUUUUCUUUUUUAAUCUUAGUGAAGAGUAAAUUAACGAUUAUAUUAUGAUAUGUGAUUUUUUUUUCUAUUAUAAACAUUUCGAACAAAAAUCUUCCUCCAAUUAAUUAUUUUCAAGGACCUAUUUUAUUUUGAAUCUAGUUAGAACAUUGAAAUAAAUAAGUAAUAAUAUUGUCAAAUUAUUAUCCUUGUUGGGUAAAUAAAUUAAUUUAAAUAUUAAACAAUAUUAUUUUAUAAAUCAAGUUUCAUAUGUAGCACCUUCUUUAAAAGAAAAUUUCUCUGGGAUGGUUCUUCAAACAGCUAAUUAUUGAUUGUUUGGGAUUAUUUGGCUAGCCCAGUAGCUUUUCCAAUAAGUGCGAAUAACCGGGAAUAAUUUAAGAAAAUAAUGCUUUUAUUAUUUUCAAUUUUGUUUUUCAUUAUGUUGUAAUUAAUUUUAAAAUAUUUUUAGAAACUCGAAACUUUUACAGAAAACUCAUUUUUCAUUUUUUAGACAUUGUAAAACUUUCAAAACAUUUGAGCUAUUUUUGUGCUAAUUAUAGAGAUUUUAAUUUUGUGAGUUUACACAAAAUUUUGAUUUGGUAAUUACUCUGUGAUAUAAUUAUUAUUAAAUAAAAAUACUUGAAAAUUGAACAGAAGGUUCUUUAAAAGUCGAACUUUGUGGCAAAAAAAUAUUGAGCUUAAUGUAUACUAUAAUAUUUUUUUUUUAUGAAGGAAUUUUAAUAUUAUAUUUUGACGAAAUUCGUUUGAGUUAAAAAUUAUAUGGAACCUGACUUUACCAUCGUUCUUAAAUCGACCAUGUUUAUAUAUAUUUAAGAACGAUGAUAAAGUCAGAAUCAAGCGGACUGGCUUAGUUUCGAAAUUAUAGCCUUUUGAAGUUCUGGUAAUGUGCGGAUAUUAUAUAAUGACAAUUUUAUAGUAUGACAGUUGUAAUACAGUGGUACGUAAAUAUUGUCAACCCAAUGGUUGUGCGUUCAAACUCAUGUUUUAAAAAUGUUUUUUUGCUAAACCACGUCGGGUAGGUAGCAGGGGUAAAAAAAUGUAAUAAAUGGAACAUGCAAAAUGUGUUUACUUCGUUAAUCGUCGUAUUCAAAAUAUAUUUAUUUUAAAUCAAAUUAGACGAUGUAUUUAUUUAUUUAUUUAUUAAAUUAUAUACAUAUAUAUUGUUGAAAUUGCAAUAUUAUUAACCAAGCUUCUCUCAGAACCGUUUUUCGUUAGCAAUGGGUAAUCGUUGCGAGCAGAUAUUAAAUUUCCCUUUUACCUGCCUAAUUUAUCACCUACAACAGUGGUCUAGCAUCGUGCGAAGUAUGCCUGUUCUCUUUUUCUUAGUAUUAUAUAUUAUCUGUUCAAACUCUUGUCCUUUUGUGCAAAUAUCUAAAAAUUAUUUCGAAAAAAUUGUAAAUUCAAAAGGAUCUCAAACAAUAAUAAGUUAUGCUUUUGUAAAAAAAAAUCUCAUUAAAUAAAUGUUAUAACUACUUUACAGAAUUCAAAUGAAAUGUGUAUAUCACUACUUUGUUUGAAUUCUGUAUUUCAAGUUACAGUUAGUGCAUGUACAGUUUUUAAUUAUAUGUUGAAACAAUUUUAAACAUUGGCUUAGAAUUGUAAAAUUGUAUUAUUACGUAACUACUGAAUUUUGGCAUUGCGCCAUCGUCAGAUUACUGAUAUACAUGAAUAUUUGAAACAAAAACAUACCGUCAAUUUGAAUAAAAUUAACGAAUAUUAAAUAAUAAUAUUAUACAUGUAGGUAUGCAUAAUUUGAAAUUAAAACGGUGGUAAUAGAGAUAAACAGAAAAUAAUAAUACAGAACGAAUACUGUUUUUUUUUUUAAUACCAUCUUUAAGUUUAUGUAAAAAAGUAAACAGAAAGUAAGUUUAGAUUAUGAGCAGAACGAGGAAUACAUUGGUUUUACAAUGUUGUUUAUUUUUUUUAUUGAUUUAUUAUUUUCAUCCGUGAACAACUCUUCUAUCUACCAGCAAUUUCGCUCCGUUUUCCAGUUAUAGCAAUUUUUCUGACAAGAAAUCUGGCUAGGGUGGUACCUAGGUGGUUUUUUUGAUUUCCCUAGCUAUUUUCAUAAGAAAUGGGAAAACCGGAAAAAUAGAUANUUGCUUACAGAUAUACAUUAUAUUUCCCCUCAAACUUUCCAACUUUUUAAAAUCAGUAUGUACAAUAUGUAAUAUUAUAUUAUUAAAACAAUCGGUUUCACUUUAUAUUUUAUAUGAUCUCGAAUUUAUAAUAAACAUAUAAUACUUAAUGAUUAUUUUUACAGACAUUUUUAUUGAUGUAUUUUUUUUUUUGAGAUGUAUUAAUGUAAUUAUUAAAGCCAUUGUCGUUUUAGGAUUUGAAUUUAUCUAUAAUAAUAAUUUGAAAAUUAGACAAUCGUUAUUAAUAUAUCGAUUUCGUAUGACACUGAAUACAAACUUUGAACCAGAUUUUGUUUGUCGGUGUCUCGCAUUGUCAUUGAUGUUAAUAGUAUACCUAUUACUAUUGAUAUUACUUGCGAAGUCAUAACUAAUAAUAUUUUACCCAUAAAUUAUUUAUUUUAAUUAUUCAACAAUAACUGUAUAGCAGUGAUGCCCAACGUGGGCAAUACCACCCCCUUGUGGGCUUUUUUAAUUUUAAAGGGACUUUUUACUUAAGGGAGCGCUAAUGGGGGCGAUUCUACUGUGACUUUUAUUAUUCAAAUGAAGUUAGAAUUUAGUGUAUAUCUGUGAAGUUAGCAAGUGGAUAUUGAGCACUCACAUAAGGUUGUCUUAUGACUUUUUCUAACAAUUUAUUAUUGUAUAUCGCCCAAUCUUUAAAACUAUAAUCAACUAGCCGAUAACAUAUUUUCACUGGGUGAUAUUUAUGUCACCUAGUUCAUUAGUUUAAAAAUGCAGUUCGUACGCUAUGUGGAAAAUUCCACCUAUCGUAGACAAAUUGAGCACUAAUUAAGCACUAAAUACUGGUACUAGAAAGUAAAUUAAUGUUGAAUGGCCAUUCACUAACUUUAUGGAUUUAUUAGUAUUAUUGUAUAUUUCUUGUACUUACUUAUUAUCAUAAUAAAGAUUAUGUUAUCCUAGAAUCUUAUCCGAGAACAAAAUUCUAUGAAAAUAUUUAAUUUUCACUUUAUAUAAUGGCCAAUUAAAAACAAAACGAUAUUUUUUUUUAAAUUUAUUGGUGUGCGAUGUGGGAUGAGGUGGGCGGUGUGAGUUUAUGAAAAUGAAAUAGGGUCGUUAAGUAAAAAAAGGUUGGGUUACACCGAUGUGUAGUAUCUAAUGAAAAUAUUUAAAUUACUAAUAUUUAUUUAAUUUUUUAUUUUCCAGUUCUCACUUGUCGUAAGUACAAUACACAUCGUAUAAAUUAAAUCACGAGCAGUGUGGAUUCACUGACUUUAUGAUCUUUGCUUAUUCGUUUUUAUUCGUCAUUGAGAUACAUAGUAGAUAAUACUAUAAGAAUUUUUUUUAAGUAUUACCCACGGCAGUAAGGGUUCUGUUUAACACAUUACUUCAUUCACUAUUGCUAUUGUUUAUUAAAUAACUUAUGAAUUAGUCUAUAUCGUAUGUACAGUUGAUGCCUUCCCCUUGAGUUAUGGUUAAUAUAAUCCUAAUUUAUAAAAAUUAGCCUUAGGACGAUGUUGGACUGAAGCUUAGCCUAGGUGGGGGCCCUCCUUUUUAGUGAGGGUAUUUAUUUUGCGACACAUUUAAAUAUAAUCUUAGUAAUUUGCGCUAAUAUUUAAGAUUUUAGUUUGUGCCAACAUAAAACUAAACUAAUGGGAAUUAUGUUAUCUGCGUCAUCUUGUACCUACACAAAUUGUAAUUUGUGUGAUCGUUCACCUUAUUAAAAUUGUAAUUUGCACCACUAAAAUACUACUUAACAAUUUAUUUUUAACAGAUUGACAUAUUAAAUUUUAGAUUCAGAGUAGAGGGAGGACGCUCAUGAUUUUCAAAAAUGUUAUUUUUUUUUUUAUCUGUGCCCAACUUUUCUACCGGAGAACUUAUAUGCAUGUUAUAUUUUUAUGUGUAGGUGCAAAUAACAAGUAAAAAAAUUAACCCAAAAUAGCUUAUCCUCUUUUCUUGGAUGAUUUAUAAUACUAUUAUUUGCUAGAUCAAUUAAAUGUAUAAUAAUUGUAUCUUUAAAAUUCCACAUUUAAAUGUAACUAACAACUUUUGUUUUAUAUCAUUACAGCGAACAUUAGAGUUGGUAGUAAGUAUGUUUUUGUAGUUUUGAACAUAGAUAACUAAUCAAUGUUUUUAGUGUAUAGGGAUAACUACAUAGAUAUAAAUAAUUAGUACCAUUAAGUAUAUACCUUGUCUCCAACGAGAAUAUUACAGCUGCCAGACCGGUUGUCGUUCAUCGGCGCACAUACAGUCUAGUUCAAAGUCGACUGUCGAU
rnacentral:lncRNA from 1 species